rnacentral:piRNA from 1 species
UCCCAGGUCUUAUACUCCACCCAACCCUUGA